rnacentral:ribozyme from 1 species
AGUCACAGAGAAAUCAUCGUUUUUAUCAUCGUUCCAUAGAGGAGCUGUGAGUGGUAUUUGUCAAAAACUGGAAAGCAAACAGACAUAUGCAAGUAUUAUGUUUGAUGAUCUGUGACUACAAGGCAAGCAAUAUAGAUAUUCUUUACAAAAAU